UCUCCGUUGGUGAACCAGCGGAGGGAUCAUUACCGAGUUUACAACUCCCAAACCCAAUGUGAACGUUACCAAACUGUUGCCUCGGCGGGGUCACGCCCCGGGUGCGUCGCAGCCCCGGAACCAGGCGCCCGCCGGAGGAACCAACCAAACUCUUUCUGUAGUCCCCUCGCGGACGUUAUUUCUUACAGCUCUGUGCAAAAAUUCAAAAUGAAUCAAAACUUUCAACAACGGAUCUCUUGGUUCUG
rnacentral:misc_RNA from 1 species